AGUGAACGCUGGCGGUAGGCCUAACACAUGCAAGUCGAACGGCAGCACAGUAAGAGCUUGCUCUUAUGGGUGGCGAGUGGCGGACGGGUGAGGAAUACAUCGGAAUCUACUUUUUCGUGGGGGAUAACGUAGGGAAACUUACGCUAAUACCGCAUACGACCUACGGGUGAAAGCAGGGGAUCUUCGGACCUUGCGCGAUUGAAUGAGCCGAUGUCGGAUUAGCUAGUUGGCGGGGUAAAGGCCCACCAAGGCGACGAUCCGUAGCUGGUCUGAGAGGAUGAUCAGCCACACUGGAACUGAGACACGGUCCAGACUCCUAAGGGAGGCAGCAGUGGGGAAUAUUGGACAAUGGGCGCAAGCCUGAUCCAGCCAUACCGCGUGGGUGAAGAAGGCCUUCGGGUUGUAAAGCCCUUUUGUUGGGAAAGAAAAGCAGCAGGUUAAUACCCCGCUGUUCUGACGGUACCCAAAGAAUAAGCACCGGCUAACUUCGUG
rnacentral:rRNA from 1 species